rnacentral:rRNA from 1 species
GAUGAACGCUGGCGGCGCACAUAAGACAUGCAAGUCGAACGGACUUAACUCGAAGUUUACUUUGAGAGCGGUUAGUGGCGGACGGGUGAGUAACGCGUGAGGAACCUGCCUUGGAGAGGGGAAUAACACAGAGAAAUUUGUGCUAAUACCGCAUAAUGCAGUUGGGUCGCAUGGCUCUGACUGCCAAAGAUUUUAUCGCUCUGAGAUGGCCUCGCGUCUGAUUAGCUGGUUGGUGGGGUAACGGCCUACCAAGGCGACGAUCAGUAGCCGGACUGAGAGGUUGACCGGCCACAUUGGGACUGAGACACGGCCCAG